rnacentral:rRNA from 1 species
CCUACGGGAGGCUGCAGUGGGGAAUAUUGGACAAUGGGCGAAAGCCUGAUCCAGCCAUGCCGCGUGUGUGAAGAAGGCCUUCGGGUUGUAAAGCACUUUCAGUGGGGAAGAAAGCCUUGGGGCUAAUACCCUCGAGGAAGGACAUCACCCACAGAAGAAGCACCGGCUAACUCCGUGCCAGCAGCCGCGGUAAUACGGAGGGUGCGAGCGUUAAUCGGAAUUACUGGGCGUAAAGCGCGCGUAGGCGGUCUGAUAAGCCGGUUGUGAAAGCCCCGGGCUCAACCUGGGAACGGCAUCCGGAACUGUCAGGCUAGAGUGCAGGGGAGGAAGGUAGAAUUCCCGGUGUAGCGGUGAAAUGCGUAGAGAUCGGGAGGAAUACCAGUGGCGAAGGCGGCCUUCUGGACUGACACUGACGCUGAGGUGCGAAAGCGUGGGUAGCAAACAGGAUUAGAUACCCCAGUAGUC